GCACGGAUGGCCGAGUGGUCUAAGGCGCCAGACUCAAGCGAUGCGUUCGCUUAGCACACACGUGUCCCUCUGAGCGUUCUGGUAUCGGUAACGAUGCGUGGGUUCGAAUCCCACUCCGUGCA